rnacentral:miRNA from 1 species
AUAGAGUCAGCCAAAGGUUAGUUCAGCGUUUUUUUUUGCAAGAUGUUCUGGAAAAACCAGAACGAACUUUUUGGUCAACCCAA